UACGGGGGGGGCAAGCGUUGUUCGGAAUUACUGGGCGUAAAGGGCUCGUAGGCGGCCAACUAAGUCGGAUGUGAAAUCCCCAGGCUCAACCUGGGAACUGCAUCCGAUACUGGAUGGCUUGAAUCCGGGAGAGGGAUGCAGAAUUCCAGGUGUAGCGGUGAAAUGCGUAGAUAUCUGGAGGAAUACCGGUGGCGAAGGCGGCAUCCUGGACCGGCAUUGACGCUGAGGAGCGAAAGCGUGGGGAGCGAACAGG
rnacentral:rRNA from 1 species